AAUAAUCACUGAAAUGUUAAGAACUCUUUCAGGUAACGUUUAUGUUUAUUGAUCAAUAUUUUCCCUUGGCAGAAGAUUGUUAUGCCUGCUCUUAAGCACCAACUACUUGAGGCCAGAGAGCCUAAUGUUUACCCAGCUCCUGGGCAGGCUGAGUCUCAAUUGUCAUUGAACAUGUGACUUCAUUAAACCACGUCUAACAUUUCCCUCUCCUACCUCUUUUCUCAGAAGACAGUCUAGUGGCCCAGUAUGUGGCCAAAUUGAAUUGCAAGCAAUAGGGAGAAAAAGCCAAAGUUCUUUUCACUUCCCUUUACUUGAGCUUUAGAGUUCUUAUUUUGUACUUAUACUUGAACAAUAAUAAUUUUAUUAACAUUAUUAACAGACAUUUAUCUAAAGUGUAUUAUAUGCCAGGUACCAUGCUGUUAUUUCAUUAUUUAUUCAUCAAAUAAUGAUUACCAGCUGGGUACAGUUGCUCACACCUGUAAUCCCAGUGCGUCGAGAGGCCAAGGUGGGAGGAUCAUUUGAGACCAGGAGUUUGAGACCAGUCUGGGCUACACAGGGAGAUGUUGUCUGUACAAAAAAAUUAAAAUUAAAAAAAGUUACUGCUGAAAUAUUAGAGUUAUCCUUAUUUUAUAGACAAGUAAACUGAGCUAAAGGAAGUUAAGCAACUUGCCUGAUGUCAUCCGAGUUAAGUAAGAAGCAGAGUUAAAUUUUGAACACAGACUUUUUCUGACUCCUCUUGAAGGCCAGUCCUUAAUUGCUACGUUACAUAAUAUAACAUAAUACAUACAAAAUUUCUUUGAAAUUGUGUGUUAGUGGUCAGUAGUUUUCAAAUAGCUAUUUUUGUUAUUUUCUUUCUUUCUUUCAAGAGAUAUGGUCUCAUUCUGUCACCCAGGCUGGAGUGCAGUGGCACAAUAAUAGCUCACUGCAGUCUUGAACUCCUGGGUGCAAGCAAUCUUUCUGCCUUAGUAUCCUGAGUAGUUGGGACUACAGGUGUGGGCCACCAACCCCAGCUAAUUAAAAACAGAUUUUUUUUUUUUUGUAGAAAUGGGGUCUUACUUUGUUGCCCAGAAUGGUCUCCAACUCCUGGCCUCAAAUGAUCCUUCUGCCUCAGCCUCCCAAAGUGCUGAGAUUACAGACGUAAGCCACUGUGUCCAACCUACUAUUUUCAAUAAGA
rnacentral:lncRNA from 1 species